rnacentral:rRNA from 1 species
UACGUAGGGGGCUAGCGUUAUCCGGAAUUACUGGGCGUAAAGGGUGCGUAGGCGGUCUUUCAAGCCAGAAGUGAAAGGCUACGGCUCAACCGUAGUAAGCUUUUGGAACUGUAAGACUUGAGUGCAGGAGAGGAGAGUGGAAUUCCUAGUGUAGCGGUGAAAUGCGUAGAUAUUAGGAGGAACACCGGUGGCGAAGGCGGCUUACUGGACUGUAACCGACGCUGAGUCACGAAAGCGGGGUAGCAAACAGGAUUAGAUACCCUGGUAGUCCCUGAGCGGG